rnacentral:rRNA from 1 species
CGGUAACACAGGGAGCUUGCUCCUGGGUGACGAGCGGCGGACGGGUGAGUAAUGUCUGGGAAACUGCCUGAUGGAGGGGGAUAACUACUGGAAACGGUAGCUAAUACCGCAUAACGUCGCAAGACCAAAGAGGGGGACCUUCGGGCCUCUUGCCAUCAGAUGUGCCCAGAUGGGAUUAGCUAGUAGGUGGGGUAAUGGCUCACCUAGGCGACGAUCCCUAGCUGGUCUGAGAGGAUGACCAGCCACACUGGAACUGAGACACGGUCCAGACUCCUACGGGAGGCAGCAGUGGGGAAUAUUGCACAAUGGGCGCAAGCCUGAUGCAGCCAUGCCGCGUGUAUGAAGAAGGCCUUCGGGUUGUAAAGUACUUUCAGCGAGGAGGAAGGCAUUAAGGUUAAUAACCUUGGUGAUUGACGUUACUCGCAGAAGAAGCACCGGCUAACUCCGUGCCAGCAGCCGCGGUAAUACGGAGGGUGCAAGCGUUAAUCGGAAUUACUGGGCGUAAAGCGCACGCAGGCGGUCUGUCAAGUCGGAUGUGAAAUCCCCGGGCUCAACCUGGGAACUGCAUUCGAAACUGGCAGGCUAUAGUCUUGUAGAGGGGGGUAGAAUUCCAGGUGUAG